rnacentral:miRNA from 1 species
UCUCGGCCUUUUGGCUAAGAU